rnacentral:rRNA from 1 species
CAAUAGCGUAUAUUAAAGUUGUUGCAGUUAAAAAGCUCGUAGUUGGAUUUCUGGUGGGAGCGAUCGGUCUGGCGCUUAGCGCGAGUACUUGCAUCGUCUCCGGCCAUCCUUGGGGAGAGUCUGUCUGGCAUUAAGUUGUCGGGCAGAGGAUCCUCAUCGUUUACUGUGAAAAAAUUAGAGUGUUCAAAGCAGGCUUAUGCCGUUGAAUAUAUUAGCAUGGAAUAAUAAGAUAGGACUUUGGUACUAUUUUGUUGGUUCGCGCACCAAAGUAAUGAUUAAUAGGGACAGUUGGGGGUAUUCGUAUUCCGUUGUCAGAGGUGAAAUUCUUGGAUUUACGGAAGACGAACUACUGCGAAAGCAUUUACCAAGGAUGUUUUCAUUAA